rnacentral:rRNA from 1 species
UACAGAGGCCCCGAGCAUUACCCGGAAUUAUUGGGCGUAAAGAGUGCGUAGGUGGUCAUGUUAGUCGGUCGUUAAACCCCAGGGCUCAACCCUGGACCUGCGACCGAAACGGCAUGACUCGAGGGCGUGAGAGGUACAUGGAACUCAUGGUGUAGGGGUGAAAUCCGUUGAUAUCAUGGGGAACACCGAAAGCGAAGGCAAUGUACUGGCGCGUUCCUGACACUCAAGCACGAAAGCGUGGGUAGCGAACGGG